UGGGGAAUAUUGGACAAUGGGCGCAAGCCUGAUCCAGCCAUGCCGCGUGAGUGACGAAGGUCUUCGGAUUGUAAAGCUCUUUUUGGCGGGGACGAUAAUGACGGUACCCGCAGAAUAAGCCCCGGCUAACUUCGUGCCAGCAGCCGCGGUAAUACGAAGGGGGCUAGCGUUGUUCGGAAUCACUGGGCGUAAAGCGCACGUAGGCGGAUUUGUUAGUCAGGGGUGAAAUCCCGGGGCUCAACCUCGGAACUGCCUCUGAUACUGCAAAUCUCGAGUCCGAUAGAGGUGAGUGGAAUUCCUAGUGUAGAGGUGAAAUUCGUAGAUAUUAGGAAGAACACCAGUGGCGAAGGCGGCUCACUGGAUCGGUACUGACGCUGAGGUGCGAAAGCGUGGGGAGCAAACAGGAUUAGAUACCCGUGUAGUCCCUGAGCGGGCUGGCAAGGCGCAU
rnacentral:rRNA from 1 species